GACGAACGCUGGCGGUGUGCUUAACACAUGCAAGUCGAACGGUAAGGCCCUUCCGGGGGUACAAGUGUGGAGCACGGGUGUAUAACACGUGUGUACUCUGCCCCCCUCCCUGGUAUACCAGUCGGACUCGGUUGCUUAUACUGGAUAUCCGCCUGCCAGGCAUCCUGUGGGUUGGAGCGAUUUUUUGGUUGGGGAUGGACUCGCGGGCUCUCCGCUUGUUGGUGAGGUAGUGGUUCCACAAGGAGUCGACGGGUAGCCGGCCUGAGAGUGUGCGCGGCCACGUUGGGGCUGAGAUACGGCCCAGACGCCUACGGGGGGCAGCAGUGGGGAAGAGUGCACGAUGGACGGAGGUCUGAUGCAGCAGCGCCGCGGGCGGGAUGACGGCCUUCGGGUUGUAAACCGCUUUCAGUUGUGACGAAGCUUGGUGUGACGGUAGCAGUAGAAGAAGCACCGGCUAACUACGUG
rnacentral:rRNA from 1 species